CAGUCGCCGCGGGAAUACAGAGGGUGCGAGCGUUAAUCGGAUUUACUGGGCGUAAAGCGUGCGUAGGCGGCUUCUUAAGUCGGAUGUGAAAUCCCUGAGCUUAACUUAGGAAUUGCAUUCGAUACUGGGAAGCUAGAGUAUGGGAGAGGAUGGUAGAAUUCCAGGUGUAGCGGUGAAAUGCGUAGAGAUCUGGAGGAAUACCGAUGGCGAAGGCAGCCAUCUGGCCUAAUACUGACGCUGAGGUACGAAAGCAUGGGGAGCAAACAGGAUUAGAUCCCCAGUAGUCCCUGUCUCUUAUACA
rnacentral:rRNA from 1 species